rnacentral:rRNA from 1 species
UUGCGACCCCAGGUCAGGCGGGGCUACCCGCUGAGUUUAAGCAUAUCAACA